AACGAACGCUGGCGGCAUGCCUAACACAUGCAAGUCGAACGAGACCUUCGGGUCUAGUGGCGCACGGGUGCGUAACGAGUGGGAACCUGCCCUUAGGUUCGGAAUAACUACCCGAAAGGGGGGAUAAUACCGGAUAAUGUCUUAGGACCAAAGAUUUAUCGCCUUUGGAUGGGCCCGCGUUGGAUUAGCUAGUUGGUAGGGUAAAAGCCUACCAAGGCGACGAUCCAUAGCUGGUCUGAGAGGAUGAUCAGCCACACUGGGACUGAGACACGGCCCAGACUCCUACGGGAGGCAGCAGUGGGGAAUAUUGGACAAUGGGCGAAAGCCUGAUCCAGCAAUGCCGCGUGAGUGAUGAAGGCCUUAGGGUUGUAAAGCUCUUUUACCCGGGAUGAUAAUGACAGUACCGGGAGAAUAAGCACCGGCUAACUCCGUG
rnacentral:rRNA from 1 species